CUCUUUUUUCCGGGAAAAAACGAAAGUGACCGUACCUGCAGAACAAGGGCCCGCUAACUACGUGCCCCCCGCCCCGGUUAUACGUAGGGGGCAAGCGUUGUCCGGAAUUAUUGGGCGUAAAGAGCUCGUAUGCGGCUUGUCGCGUCGGAUGUGAAAGCCCGGGGCUUAACCCCGGGUCUGCAUUCGAUACGGGCAGGCUAGAGUUCGGUAGGGGAGAUCGGAAUUCCUGGUGUAGCGGUGAAAUGCGCAGAUAUCAGGAGGAACACCGGUGGCGAAGGCGGAUCUCUGGGCCGAUACUGACGCUGAGGAGCGAAAGCGUGGGGAGCGAACAGGAUUAGAUACCCUGGUAGUCCACGCCGUAAACGUUGGGAACUAGGUGUGGGCGACAUUCCACGUCGUCCGUGCCGCAUCUAACGCAUUAAGUUCCCCGCCUGGGGAGUACGGCCGCAAGGCUAAAACUCAAAGGAAUUGACGGGGGCCCGCACAAGCAGCGGAGCAUGUGGCUUAAUUCGACGCAACGCGAAGAACCUUACCAAGGCUUGACAUACACCGGAAACGUCUGGAGACUGGCGCCCCCUUGU
rnacentral:rRNA from 1 species